AGAUGAAAUAAGCUUUGCUGUGUAAAUGUAGAGCUGAAUGCAGCAUGACUGACAGCACCAGACAGACCAUUAUAGGCAAUCAGCUCCACAAUGAGAGAUUUAGGCUGUUGAAGUGGAAGUAUUGAAAAAAAGCUUCCAUCAUCCAACAUCAAAGAUGGAAAGAAAAUGACAAUGUGACUGCCAGAGCUGAUUGAAGAUAGUGAUGCCUUAUAGUGAACUGCCUGCUACAAACCCAAGGGAAACUAUAAGGGUUCUCCGAGACUGGAAACCAAUGGUUUGGGGACAAUAUUCCUGCAAAGGUCACUGGAAAGACCAUCUAUUGGCUGACAGCAGUGACGUAGAUGUAAACAACAUGUCAAACUUGUGGUCCAGCGGGGACCCCAGAUGGUGAAGAUGGGAGCUCGGCGCUGGACCUGGAAUGUUCUGAGCAGAAAUCGAGACUCAUCAGACCAGGCAACAUUUUUCCAGUCUUCAACAGUCCAAUUUUGACACCACGAGGAGAUGGCGGCACGGAUGGAUGGAAAUGGAGUGCAUCAGCAUCUGUUUACUCGGCUGUCUCCCUCUUCUCAUAACGGUGAUGUAUUUACAGAAAACUUCCGCUUCAGAUGAUCUUUAAAAGAAUCCAGCACAUUUCCUCCUAAAGAAACUGAGUAAAUGUUUAAAGGGGUUUUUGGAGACUUUACUACUGAUAGGUCGUCAGUAUCUGAUCGGUGGGGGUCCGACCCCCGCCGAUCAGUUGUUUGA